AACGCACGAGACCUGCGGACCUGCGGAGGGAUCAUUACCGAGUGCGGGCCCUCGCGGCCCAACCUCCCACCCUUGUCUCUAUACACCCGUUGCUUUGGCGGGCCCACCGGGGCCACCUGGUCGCCGGGGGACGUCCGUCCCCGGGCCCGUGCCCGCCGAAGCGCUCUGUGAACCCUGAUGAAGAUGGGCUGUCUGAGUACUAUGAAAAUUGUCAAAACUUUUAACAAUGGAUCUCUAGAU
rnacentral:misc_RNA from 1 species